rnacentral:rRNA from 1 species
UCAGACGAUGCGUCAUGCAUAUCAAUAAGCGGAGGAAAAGAAACUAACAAGGAUUCCCUUAGUAACGGCGAGUGAAGCGGGAAGAGCUCAAAUUUGAAAUCUUCAAGGUUUUACCUUGACGAAUUGUAGUUUAAAGAAGUGUUUUCUGUUGAAGUUUUGGUAAAAGUUCUUUGGAAUAGGACAUCAUAGAGGGUGAGAAUCCCGUAUUUGACCAUUAUCUUCAGCUGUGUGAUACACUUUCAAAGAGUCGGAUUGUUUGGGAAUGCAGUCCAAAAUGGGUGGUAAAUUUCAUCUAAAGCUAAAUAUUGGCGAGAGACCGAUAGCGAACAAGUACCGUGAGGGAAAGAUGAAAAGAACUUUGAAAAGAGAGUUAAACAGUACGUGAAAUUGUCAAAAGGGAAGCGUUUGACACCAGUGUUGUUUUCUCGAAAAUCAAUUAAAAAGAGUUGGAUUUUGUGUUGUAUUGACCUUAACAGCUUGCUUCACUCUUUUCCUGCUUUUUUUAAUGCACUUUUCGUUUAACAAGUCAACAUCAGUUUCUUUUGUUGUAAAAGGGUCAUUGGAAGGUGGCUUUCUCUUCGGAGAAAGUGUUUAUAGCCUUUGCUCUCUGCAAUCGGAGAGAUUGAGGUCUGCAGCGUAGAUCCUUCGGGGUUAGAUACAUUUGUGCUAAGUUAUAGCCUUUCAUAGACAACUUGUUGACUAUGUUUAGUCUUGUAACUUACUCGCUUAUGCUAUUUUACCUACGCUUAGGAUGUUGAUAUGCAUGACUGAUAU